UACGUAGGGUGCGAGCGUUAAUCGGAUUUACUGGGCGUAAAGAGCGCGCAGGCGGCUGGGCAAGUCCGAUGUGAAAGCUUCCGGCUUAACUGGAAAAUUGCAUCGGAAACUGCUCGGCUUGAAGGUGGGAGAGGGUAGCGGAAUUCCACGUGUAGCAGUGAAAUGCGUAGAGAUGUGGAGGAACACCGAUGGCGAAGGCAGCCCCCCUGGGCUAACACUGACGCUCAUGCACGAAAGCGUGGGGAGCAAACAGG
rnacentral:rRNA from 1 species